rnacentral:rRNA from 1 species
CGUCUGAAAACGGGCGCUAAUACCGUAUAAUGUCUUCGGACCAAAGAUUUAUCGCCAAAGGAUUGGCCCGCGUCUAAUUAGUUAGUUGGUAAGGUAACGGCUUACCAAGACGAUGAUCAGUAGCUGGUCUGAGAGGAUGAUCAGCCACACUGGGACUGAGACACGGCCCAGACUCCUACGGGAGGCAGCAGUGAGGAAUAUUGGACAAUGGAGGAAACUCUGAUCCAGCCAUGCCGCGUGAGUGAAGAAGGCCUUAGGGUCGUAAAGCUCUUUCAAUUGUGAAGAUAAUGACGGUAACAAUAGAAGAAG